rnacentral:siRNA from 1 species
AACAAAGCAGCCGACACGUCCUACC